rnacentral:rRNA from 1 species
AUUGAACGCUGGCGGCAUGCCUUACACAUGCAAGUCGAACGGCAGCGCGGGGCAACCUGGCGGCGAGUGGCGAACGGGUGAGUAAUAUAUCGGAACGUGCCCUGGAGUGGGGGAUAACGUAGCGAAAGUUACGCUAAUACCGCAUACGAUCCAAGGAUGAAAGCAGGGGGCCUUCGGGCCUUGUGCUCCUGGAGCGGCCGAUAUCUGAUUAGCUAGUUGGUGGGGUAAAAGCCUACCAAGGCGACGAUCAGUAGCUGGUCUGAGAGGACGACCAGCCACACUGGAACUGAGACACGGUCCAGACUCCUACGGGAGGCAGCAGUGGGAAUUUUGGACAAUGGGGGCAACCUGAUCCAGCAAUGCCGCGUGUGUGAAGAAGGCCUU